GUUUUUAAUUCCAGUUCCAGCAACCUUUUCAGCAGUAAAUGCCAUCAGCUGUGACAUUAUGUCUCAUGCCAUUCAUCUAUCUUCCUGCAGAGGGGAGGCAGCAAGUGGAACAGGAAAGAAAAACAAGAAACCAGUGUGGUGUGUUUGUUCAAUCUCCAAUGAAACCAUUCCCAACUAUGGCAUGGGACAAAGGGUAAUGAUUUCAAAGUGAGAGAAGAUAGGCUUACAUUGGAUAUAAAUCAAGGUGGUGAGGCAUGGAAAUGGGUUGUUCAGAGAAAUUGUGGGAACUCUAUAUAAAUGGUGAUCAUGACCAGGUUAGAUGGGGUACUGAGCAAACUGGGGCAUUCUCCCUCUCCAAUGCAGGGUGAUUGGAACUAGGUGACCUUCAUCUCCCUUCCAACACAAAUCGUUCUAUGAUUGUAUGAUUCCACAGUGUUACAUCUAUUAAAAAUUAUUUGCUUCUUUUUGAAUUCCUGAAUGUCAAAACUCAUAUUGAUGGUUUUUUGUUUGUUUGUUUUUGUUUUCUUCCUUUCUUAACAGCAAUAGCAAUAACAGCUGAAUUUCUCUGAGAUGUGCUGUUGCAAGUGCUUACGUGGAGGAGGUCUGGGUCCUGCUGUAGAAAUCCCUAGGGAGCAGAAUGACUCUAAUUUUCUGGCUUUCUCAUCUGCCCCCCUACUCACAUAAUUACAACUCAAGCCAUUUUUUGGAAAAAAAGUAGAUGUAUAUCACUGCAGACUUAUGUCUUACAGCAAGAUUUGAAAGCAAAGGGGAAUUUCUACAAGAGAAAUUGUAUCACCUUGGGUAGGAUCAACUCCUUCAUUUGCAGCCAGGUUCAAAAAUCUUUCGUCUAAAGACUGAUUCCUAUUGGCAUCAGAGGAAUUGAAAAUUAAUUAUGUCCACAGUGAGAAACUGUAGAACUAGCGGGAAGAAAACCAGUAAAGUUGUUUUCUGAGCGGCCUUGGGGAAAACAGUGGGAAGUUGCUGGUGAGUGGAGCUUUUCAAGAAUAAAAAGGACACUCAAAAUCCCUAAUUAACUUUA
rnacentral:lncRNA from 1 species